rnacentral:rRNA from 1 species
GACGUAGGGUGCGAGCGUUGUCCGGAUUUAUUGGGCGUAAAGAGCUCGUAGGCGGCUCGUCGCGUCGACCGUGAAAACCCGCGGCUUAACUGCGGGCUUGCGGUUGAUACGGGCGGGCUAGAGUUCGGUAGGGGAGACUGGAAUUCCUGGUGUAGCGGUGAAAUGCGCAGAUAUCAUUUGGAACGCCAAUGGUGAAAACAGCUUGCUGGGGGUUUGCUGACGCUGAGACACGAAAGCCAGGGGAGCAAACGGG